UUCGAUUCUGGUUUUUUGGAAGGAGAAGGCUACUUUGCAGACCUCGCGAAAAUAUAUUUUUCAGGCGGGUUAAAGAAGUUUGAGAAUCGCCGGGGUGAACUACUCAUCGGACCUACCUCAGUUCUCAGAAUGUUUGAAGAAGCCAUCAGGCCGUUCCACCACAACAAAAUGUAAAUAGUUUUUACGUAUUUAAAGAAAAUUGAAUCUUACACAAUUAAGGGUCCGUCUAAAGUCAGCAAUGUUGGAUCAUAGAUAUUGAAAUAAUAAUGAAAUAAUAAGAAUGUUUCCACUUCAUAUUAAUACAACUAUUUGGCUAUGA